UGAUGCUUCUCAGGGAAGGGCGGAGCCGGUAGGAGGCCGCGGAGUCACAGAAGGGUUUGGGUUCUGAGUCGUAACUAAGGGGGAUGCAUGGAAUGCCUUUCCUCCCUCUCGUUGCCAUGGUGAUAGAGCGAGAACGCCCUCCGGCGCUCUGGCGUGGAGCAAAUUCUCCUCGAGUCUGGCUACACGUCCAUGUCUUACCGAGGGGUUGGAGUCGCUUUGGGUGUCAUAAUCUUCUUCCUUUGUGAGGGACCUGGCUGUGCACUUUUUCUUGAUUUGUACAAAUCUGACAAUGAAACUUCUUCAGGGCAGGCACAUGUUGAAGAGAAAGAGACAGGGCUCAAUUUUGUUCAUAUUGGUGCAAAGGAAUUCACUGUACCAUGCAAGCCUGCGAAGACAGAUGUUGUGAUUGGUAUGAAUCCUAUAUACAACUGGAGCCUGGAAAAUAGAGAAAGCCCAUCCCUCCAAGCUGGUGCCUCCCUGAUUCUGCAUGAAUUUCAUGCUGAGGAGAGUGGGCGCUAUACCUGUUCCAUCUCUUUCACAAAGGAAGACCAGCUCCAUACUGUGACUUUCUCUCAUACGGUGGUGGGUUAUCACAUACGUGGAGAAUUACAGGUCCUCCUGAUUUUUCAGAGCCACUCCUGUGAUAAGUCAUUGACGCAUGAGUUUGUGAAGAUCCUACAUGCACAGCUGAGUCAACUGGUAUCUCACCUACACUGUGAGCUUCUUUCUGGGAGUACCAAUUGCUUUCCUACUGUGGAGAAACCGUUGGAUGAGUUCAAUCUCCAAGUAGAGCUAAAAGUAACUCCAUUUGGGAAAGGCUGGGAUAAAUCCUGCUAUCCCCAGGUUGAUUUGAUGGCAUUAGAAUGUUACCGCUCAGCUGUUCAGAAUAAUCUACAGCAGGCUAAGGAAGCUAUGACUGAAUUUAUGGAUAAGAAUAAACAUUUUCCCCUGAGAACAUCAAAUGGUUCCCAUGUUUCUUUUGUCAACACUUUUUUCAAUUUCUUGGAAGAUGGAAAGUGCCAGGAUGGUUAUGGACAGACACAGGAGCUACAGGCACACUGUCCCGACUGCUGUACUUUGUGCCCUCCUGGAACAUACAGUGUGGCCACCACUGACAGCUGUGUUCUCUGUCCAAUUGGGAGCUAUAGCUUGCACUAUGGGACAACCCUUUGCAUUUCAUGCCCCAACAGUUGGCUUACCUCACACCCUGGCGCCAGAACAUCUGCAGACUGCAUGAAUAUGAAAGUCCCUCCUUCACAUCGAUUUUCCGUACUGAUGGUAGCCUUUUCCGUGCCUCCACUUGGUUGCCUCUGUCUCAUUGUGAUCAUGAGAUGAAGUCUGGUGCUGAGUUUUCUAAUGACUUGGGUCAUUCAUAUCUGGCCUUUGGACCAUCUCAUCAGGAAUCUGGCAAGUGCAUGGAUUUCUAAAUGGACCCAAAUGGUUCCAUAUUCAACUAGAACCUUUAUCCAAGUGUGGAACUGGACCUCAAUGCAACAGACAGCACUGUUGCCUCAAAUUUUUCCCCACAACAUCCCUGUGAGGUAGACUGGGUUGAAGGAGAAUGACUGGCCCAGACACCCAGCAAGCAUCCUUUGUUGAAGAUGGAUUUGAACCUGAUUCUCCCCGGUCUUAAUCUAACAUCUUCAACACAUAUCAGCAUACAAUAUGAUAUGUGGAUUUUAAUGAAAAAGAAAUAUGCUUCAAAUUGAUCAAAACCAAAUAAAUGAUAACAGAAUGUGAUGUAAUGCAACAAUCAUGAUAAUGCCCAACAUUUAAUCACCACAAUCUGACAGAAUAAUGUGGAGCUGUUAUUUCUAGGAGAAAUUAUUAAAUAAAA